rnacentral:rRNA from 1 species
AUUGAACGCUGGCGGCAUGCCUUACACAUGCAAGUCGAACGGCAGCACGGGAGCAAUCCUGGUGGCGAGUGGCGAACGGGUGAGUAAAGUAUCGGAACGUGCCCAGUCGUGGGGGAUAACGUAGCGAAAGUUACGCUAAUACCGCAUACGAUCGAUGGAUGAAAGCGGGGGAUCGCAAGACCUCGCGCGAUUGGAGCGGCCGAUAUCGGAUUAGGUAGUUGGUGGGGUAAAGGCCCACCAAGCCGACGAUCUGUAGCUGGUCUGAGAGGAAGACCAGCCACACUGGGACUGGAAAACGGCCCAGACUCCUACGGGAGGCAGCAGUGGGGAAUUUUGGACAAUGGGCGAAAGCCUGAUCCAGCCAUGCCGCGUGCAGGAUGAAGGCCUUCGGGUUGUAAACUGCUUUUGUACGGAACGAAAAGGACUGCCCUAAUACGGUGGUCCCAUGACGGUACCGUAAGAAUAAGCACCGGCUAACUACGUGCCAGCCGCCGCCGUAA